rnacentral:misc_RNA from 1 species
GAUGAAGAACGUAGCAAAAUGCGAUAAGUAAUGUGAAUUGCAGAAUUCAGUGAAUCAUCGAAUCUUUGAACGCACAUUGCGCCCGCUGGUAAUCCGGCGGGCAUGCCUGUUCGAGCGUCAUUUCAACCCUCAAGCCCCCGGGUUUGGUGUUGGGGAUCGGCUCUGCCCUUCUGGGCGGUGCCGCCCCCGAAAUACAUUGGCGGUCUCGCUGCAGCCUCCAUUGCGUAGUAGCUAACACCUCGCAACUGGAACGCGGCGCGGCCAUGCCGUAAAACCCCAACUUCUGAAUGUUGACCUCGGAUCAGGUAGGAAUACCCGCUGAACUUAAGCAUAUCAAUAAGCGGAGGA